AGAGGGAUGGCAGAGCGGUCGAAUGCGGCGGUCUUGAAAACCGUUGAAGGUCACACUUCCGGGGGUUCGAAUCCCUCUCCCUCUG
rnacentral:tRNA from 1 species